GAAGUAUUGAUGCAGAAAAAGAAUGCUACUUAUUGUGUUUCAAUAAGUAAGAAGAUAAACACACAAAAAGAAGGACAAUGUAGACUCAAUGGAUACAUAGAAAAGAUAAAUAAGACUGUAUUCAAGGCAAUGGAAGAGGGAGAUUUCUCUGAUCAGCAAUGUAAGAAUCUCAAAAUAUUCAGCACCCGUCAUCAUGACCCCAACUUCACCCAAAGAAGGAAGCAAGGCUCACAAUGGAGGUCAAACUGUGGACACAGUUCUUUCUUGCUGUCACUAGCUGGAAUGAGAAUCGAUUACCUCAGUCACACUCUACAAAUAUGUCUAGAAAUAUUGGAGAGACCUUAAUCACAAUUCUCUACCUACUCCAUUAUGCAUGCUUCGAUACCUCAAACUAUAGUCCUACCUGAUAUUUUUGGCCUUUCUAUGUAUAAUGAGAC
rnacentral:lncRNA from 1 species